rnacentral:rRNA from 1 species
UACGAAGGGGGCUAGCGUUGCUCGGAAUGACUGGGCGUAAAGGGCGCGUAGGCGGAUGGCACAGUCAGAUGUGAAAUUCCCGGGCUUAACCUGGGGGCUGCAUUUGAUACGUGUUGUCUAGAGUGAGGAAGAGGGUUGUGGAAUUCCCAGUGUAGAGGUGAAAUUCGUAGAUAUUGGGAAGAACACCGGUGGCGAAGGCGGCAACCUGGUUCGAUACUGACACUGAGGUGCGAAAGCGUGGGGAGCAAACAGG